GAAAAAAAUAUCAAAACAGCCGUACUUUGAAGCAGAAAUUCAACAAAAACAAAGUUCGGAAACUUAAUGUCUUCAAAACAGAACUCCAUGCUCAGUUCGAGGCAGUAAACAAUGAUAGAAGUCCAGUACACCUACAUGAUAUCCAUCUACAACCAUCACAUCUCAGUGAAGGGGUACAUGACAUCCUAUAUACUCGCUGUUUAAGUCAGCUUGACUACACCUACAAUCCAAAUAUUUCCUCAAAAGAAAAAGACCUUCCCAUCUCAGAAAUAAUCAAAAUUAACACUUCAUACUAUAGAAUGAAUGUCAAGGCAAAGAGAAUGCAACAGAAGAGUCAAAGACCACAACUUUGUUCAAGAUGGAACCUUUC